rnacentral:rRNA from 1 species
CAUCAGCCGCGGUAAUACGUAGGGUGCAAGCGUUAAUCGGAAUUACUGGGCGUAAAGCGUGCGCAGGCGGUUAUAUAAGACAGAUGUGAAAUCCCCGGGCUCAACCUGGGAACUGCAUUUGUGACUGUAUAGCUAGAGUACGGCAGAGGGGGAUGGAAUUCCGCGUGUAGCAGUGAAAUGCGUAGAUAUGCGGAGGAACACCGAUGGCGAAGGCAAUCCCCUGGGCCUGUACUGACGCUCAUGCACGAAAGCGUGGGGAGCAAACAGGAUUAGAUACCCGAGUAGUCCCUGUCUCUUAUAC